UGGUGGAGUGAUUUGUCUGCUUAAUUGCGAUAACGAACGAGACCUUAACCUGCUAAAUAGCCGGGCUAUCUUUGGAUGGUCGUCGGCUUCUUAGAGGGACUAUCGGCUCAAGCCGAUGGAAGUUUGAGGCAAUAACA
rnacentral:rRNA from 1 species